rnacentral:rRNA from 1 species
UACGUAGGGUGCAAGCGUUGUCCGGAAUUAUUGGGCGUAAAGAGCUCGUAGGCGGUCUGUCGCGUCUGCUGUGAAAACUCAGGGCUUAACCCUGAGCUUGCAGUGGGUACGGGCAGACUAGAGUGCGGUAGGGGAGACUGGAAUUCCUGGUGUAGCGGUGAAAUGCGCAGAUAUCAGGAGGAACACCGAUAGCGAAGGCAGCUCGCUGGGACGGUAUUGACGCUGAGGCGCGAAAGCGUGGGGAGCAAACAGG